CACGUAGGGCGCAAGCGUUGUCCGGAAUUAUUGGGCGUAAAGAGCUCGUAGGCGGCUUCGUAAGUCGGAUGUGAAAUCUCAUGGCUUAACUGUGAGCGGCCAUUCGAUACUGCGAGGCUAGAGGUCGGUAGGGGGACAUGGAAUUCCUGGUGUAGCGGUGAAAUGCGCAGAUAUCAGGAGGAACACCGGUGGCGAAGGCGGUGUCCUGGGCCGAUCCUAACGCUGAGGAGCGAAAGCUGGGGGAGCAAACAGG
rnacentral:rRNA from 1 species